rnacentral:rRNA from 1 species
CUCAGUAGCUCGAGGAAAAGAAAUCAACCGAGAUUCCCCCAGUAGCGGCGAGCGAACGGGGAGGAGCCCAGAACCUGAAUCGGCUUGUGUGUUAGUGGAAGCGUCUGGAAAGUCGCGCAGCAAAGGGUGAUAGCCCCGUACACUAAAAUGCACAGGUCGUGAGUUCGAUGAGUAGGGCGGGACACGUGACAUCCUGUCUGAAUAUGGGGGGACCAUCCUCCAAGGCUAAAUGCUCCUGACUGACC